rnacentral:lncRNA from 1 species
GAGAUUUCAAAACCCAGAGCCUUUCCCACCCAGUUAGCUGUCUUGUCUCCUUGAUGGCUGCUGUCUCAACAUAAGUUCUCAGCUCCUGCUCUAGAGCCAUGCUUGCCUGUUUCCAUGCUUCUCCAGACGAUGGUCAUGAACUCUGCUGCCCUCCGGAAUCAUGAGCCCCAGACUAAAUGCUUUCUUACAUAUGCUCACACGAUCUGAAAUUCGCUGCUGUGAAAACAGAAGGAAACGGUCCUGUCAGGAGAACCAGCCCCUGCAGUUCCCUAAGGCUGGCACAAUGGAGGAAGGUUCCUCUCCGCCUGAGUUCCUACCUCGGUGAUGGACUCCGUGAUGGACUAUGAUCCUGACACCCACAACUAAGAUCCGGCAGGUGCUUGCAGACAGUGACAUCUUGUGGGAAAUCUCAGGAACUGCACCGUGGCAAAUCGCUGCUCCUUUUACUGUGGGGUCCUUGGAAUACCCAGUCAACAUCAAGGAAGCAUUCAUUCAUUCACUGCCUUCUGUGUACAAGGAACUGAUCCAAGUCCUGGAAUAAAGAAAGCAAGAGAGACUGGAUGGCUACACGGGGAGUGAAAAAAUUCCCAAGGAUUAUAACCUUGUCAUUACUGCUCAACUUUAAAUAUAUUUUGUGUGUGUGUGUGUGUGUGUGUGUGUGUGUGUACACGUGCAUCCGUUCGUGCAUUGGCUCUGCCACAUGUGCAAGUGCUUUUGCACGCUGGUGUGGGUGUGGAGAUCGGAGGAAAACUUGCAGAUGUCCUUUCUUCCACCAUGGGGGGAUUAAACUCAGGUCCUUUGGCUUGGCAGCAAGCCCCUUUGCCCACUGAGCCAUCUCACUGGACCAGCCCCAAUUCUUUUUUCUUCUUCUUCUUCUUCUUCUUUUUUCUUUUGUUUUGUUUUUCAAGGCAGGGUUUCUCUGUAUAGCCCUGGCUGUCCUGGAACUCACUUUGUAGACCAGACUGGCAUCGAACUCAGAAAUCCCCCUGCCUCUGCCUCCCGAGUGCUGGGAUUAAAGGCGUGUGCCACCACUGCCCGACUCCAAUUCUUUAACAUUCUGUAGGGAGGUUGUCAAGCUGGACAGCGCCUUCUACAGAAGUUUUCAAAGCUCUGGGAGUGAUUCUGAGAUGACGUCACAUGGCAGAGACUCUCAGUUCAGUGCGGGUCAACCCCAGGAAAUGAAAGCAUUGCUCAGAGUGGUGAGAGGUAACACAGAAGUCCAGAGAGGAUAACUCUCUCAGCUGGCGUAGCACAGCAUGUCUGUCUGUGGAGAGAGACCUUAAGAAGGGGAAUCACAUCGUGCUUCUCAUUCUGCUACUGAUAUUGACUGCACUGUGGCAUCCUGACCCAGGUCCGCCACGGGGAGCGGGAGGGGCACAUGACCCCAAAGCUCUAUUUUCCUUUGUGCCUCCAAGGAAAUGAAAAUUCAAGAGUUGGGGGCCAAUGAGGUGGCUCAGUGUGUAAAAACCCUUGUUAUGCAAGCCUGUUGGUCUGAGUUUGAUCCCUGGGACCAAAGGAACGGAGGCUGGAGCCAAGCAACUCUGCAAGGUUGUCCUCUGACUCCCACAUCCGCAUUAACCCCCACGUCUCUCUGUCUGUCUAUCUAAGUCUAUUAUCUAUCGCUCACUAAAUAAAUCUAGGUGUGCCAUA